rnacentral:tRNA from 1 species
GGAGUAGGACUGUGACUCAGUGGUAGAGCAUCUGCUUGCCAUUCAGAAGGAUCCAGAUUCAGUCCUUGGCAUCUCCA